AUUAGCAAUGCAUUUUCUUGAUUUAUAAUUGUUGAACCAAAUGUUGUUUUGACUAAUGAUGAAUUUCCUCUUGUCUUUCACAUAUUCAAUCUCACCUGUCGCCCGGUUUGGUAGUGGAUAAGCAUGCGAACAGAUGCCAUGGAUUGGACGGGAAUUAUGAGGAAAUUAUUAUCGAGAGAGUUAGCUCUGGUUUGGGAUUCAUCAUCUCGGGUGGACCUGACAAGCAACACAUCUGCGAAGAUCAAGCCAUCAUUCUGACGAAGAUCAUCACGGGCGGUGCGGCUGCUAUCGCCGAACGAAUGAAGAUCAACGACGUCAUCUUGAAAGUGAACGAUGUGUUGGUGGUGAACGUUACCUAUUCAGCUGCAGUCGAAGCGCUCAAAAGGGCAGGAAACAUCGUCCGUUUGAGCGUAAGUAGACGCAGACAGCCACGAUCUCCUCGCAGAGUCGAAAUUGUGUAAGGGCAACAAAGGAAUGAUUUUCACCAUCACGUGCGUAUCGGGAAAUAAACAUAUUACCGGCGAUAAUGUAAUUUACAUUACCAAGAUAAUGUGAAUGGCGGAGUGGCUAAAGUUGACGGGCGAAUAGUUUUCAGCGAAAAAUUGAUUCUCGUCAGGAAUUUACACGUACGUAACGUAAAAAUAACAAACAAAAACAGUGUUGAUACUAAAAAAAAAUUUGUCUACAGUUGUUGACGGAGAAAAAUCUAGAGAAAGUUUCGCACGAGGACGCCUUUUCGGCGUUAAAGUAAACAUUGGGUGUUGCAUUGGGUGUUGCAUUGGGUGUUGCAUUGGGACAUUUUCCAUUGGGUGUUGCUGCAAUUUUGUUUCAGACCUCGUCACACUUGGAGCAGAAUUUGUCCAACAUGUAGUACCAUUUUAGAAAUGAUUGUUUAAAACUUAAAAUUGUUCCAUUUCCAAGGGAGAAGAUUGAGGGACAAGAAAAAAAAAAUUAAAGA